rnacentral:rRNA from 1 species
GACGAAUGCUGGCGGCGUGCUUAACACAUGCAAGUCGAACGGAAAGGCCCUGCUUGCAGGGUACUCGAGUGGCGAACGGGUGAGUAACACGUGGGUGAUCUGCCCUGCACUUCGGGAUAAGCCUGGGAAACUGGGUCUAAUACCGGCUAGGAGCCAUUUUUAGUGUGAUGGUUGGAAAGUUUUUUCGGUGUAGGAUGAGCUCGCGGCCUAUCAGCUUGUUGGUGGGGUAAUGGCCUACCAAGGCGGCGACGGGUAGCCGGCCUGAGAGGGUGGACGGCCACAUUGGGACUGAGAUACGGCCCAGACUCCUACGGGAGGCAGCAGUGGGGAAUAUUGCACAAUGGGCGCAAGCCUGAUGCAGCGACGCCGCGUGGGGGAUGACGGCCUUCGGGUUGUAAACUCCUUUCGCUAGGGACGAAGCUUUUGUGACGGUACCUAGAGAAGAAGCACCGGCUAACUACGUG